UACGUAGGGUGCAAGCGUUGUCCGGAAUUAUUGGGCGUAAAGAGCUCGUAGGCGGUUUGUCGCGUCUGCUGUGAAAACUCGAGGCUUAACCUCGGGCCUGCAGUGGGUACGGGCAGACUAGAGUGCGGUAGGGGAGACUGGAAUUCCUGGUGUAGCGGUGAAAUGCGCAGAUAUCAGGAGGAACACCGGUGGCGAAGGCGGGUCUCUGGGCCGUAACUGACGCUGAGGAGCGAAAGCAUGGGGAGCGAACAGG
rnacentral:rRNA from 1 species